CGUGUAGGCGGGGCGGUGCGUCGGUCGUUGAAAUCCCCCGGCUCAACCGGGGAAGUGGCGCCGAUACGACCGCUCUGGAGCGACGUAGGGGGGACUGGAACUUCCGGUGGAGCGGUGAAAUGCGUUGAGAUCGGAAGGAACGCCCGUGGCGAAAGCGAGUCCCUGGACGUCGGCUGACGCUGAGAUGCGAAAGCCAGGGGAGCGAACG
rnacentral:rRNA from 1 species